rnacentral:rRNA from 1 species
UGAGGAACAUGACCUUCGGCGGGGGAUAGCCGGCCCAACGGCCGGGUAAUACCGCGUACGACCACUUUGGGACAUCCCUAGGUGGUGAAAGCAGCAAUGCGCCGAUGGAGUGCCUCGCGGCCUAUCAGCUAGUUGGUGGGGUAACGGCUCACCAAGGCAACGAUGCGUAGCCGGCCUGAGAGGGUGAUCGGCCACAUUGGAACUGAGACACGGUCCAGACUCCGUACGGGAGGNACGCG